AACUAACUUCCGAGAGCGCCGAUAUCACAGAACCUAAUGUUACCAGUGACUUAUUUAUAUGCGCACCUUCUUUUAGUCGCUGGCCUGUCGCACCCGUUGCAUUUGCACGUUCGCUAAACAAACGUAAAGAAAUACAGUACAAGGCGAAGAAAAAUCAUAGAAAUCAACUGGCCAGUGAAAGUACGAACCAAUGUUUCGCAAUAACGUAAUAGAUUUCUGCAUUGAUGAUAAGCGAACUACGUGAUCGAGCGAUCUAGAAGCAUCGGAGCGUAUUAAAUUCAUUAAAAAAUUACUCAAAUAUUACGCUGAAUCUAGGACGCCCGGAUAUCAAACAUAAGGAUAAAAUUUACUGAGCAAAAUGGAAUAUUGUAGAAGAUCAAAGAAGAGUAAUCUUUUAUAAAAGGAUAAAGGUGAAAUGAUCACGCUGGCAAACUAAACGA